rnacentral:rRNA from 1 species
AACGAACGCUGGCGGCAUGCCUAACACAUGCAAGUCGAACGAGACCUUCGGGUCUAGUGGCGCACGGGUGCGUAACGCGUGGGAACCUGCCCUUAGGUUCGGAAUAACUCCCCGAAAGGGGUGCUAAUACCGGAUAAUUUCUUCGGACCAAAGAUUUCUCGCCUUUGGAUGGGCCCGCGUUGGAUUAGCUAGUUGGUAGGGUAAAAGUCUACCAAGGCGACGAUCCAUAGCUGGUCUGAGAGGAUGAUCAGCCACACUGGGACUGAGACACGGCCCAGACUCCUACGGGAGGCAGCAGUGGGGAAUAUUGGACAAUGGGCGAAAGCCUGAUCCAGCAAUGCCGCGUGAGUGAUGAAGGCCUUAGGGUUGUAAAGCUCUUUUACCCGGGAUGAUAAUGACAGUACCGGGAGAAUAAGCUCCGGCUAACUCCGUG